ACGGAGGAUCCGAGCGUUAUCCGGAUUUAUUGGGUUUAAAGGGAGCGCAGGCGGGGGCGUAAGUCAGCGGUGAAAUCCACGGGCUCAACUCGUGAACUGCCGUUGAUACUGCAUCCCUUGAGUACGUGCGGGGCCGGCGGAAUGCGGCAAGUAGCGGUGAAAUGCAUAGAUAUGCCGCAGAACACCGAUCGCGAAGGCAGCUGGCCAGCACGAAACUGACGCUGAGGCUCGAAAGCAUGGGGAUCAAACAG
rnacentral:rRNA from 1 species